UACGUAGGGUGCAAGCGUUAAUCGGAAUUACUGGGCGUAAAGCGUGCGCAGGCGGUUAUGCAAGACAGAUGUGAAAUCCCCGGGCUCAACCUGGGAACUGCAUUUGUGACUGCAUGGCUGGAGUGCGGCAGAGGGGGGUAGAAUUCCACGUGUAGCAGUGAAAUGCGUAGAGAUGUGGAGGAAUACCGAUGGCGAAGGCAGCCCCCUGGGAUAACACUGACGCUCAUGCACGAAAGCGUGGGGAGCAAACAGG
rnacentral:rRNA from 1 species